rnacentral:rRNA from 1 species
UUCGCAAUGCCCGAAAGGGUGACGAAGCGACGCCGCGUGUGGGAAGAAGGCCUUCGGGUUGUAAACCACUGUCGGGAGUUAAGAAAUACAAGGAUAUGAAUAGUGUCUUUGUUUGACUAAGGCUCCGGAGGAGGCCACGGCUAACUCUGUGCCAGCAGCCGCGGUAAUACAGGGGCGGCAAGCGUUGUUCGGAAUUAUUGGGCGUAAAGAGCACGUAGGCGGCUAUGUAAGUCGGUUGUGAAAGCCUUCCGCUCAACGGAAGAACAGCAUCCGAUACUACAUGGCCUGAGUGCGGGAAGGGAGAGUGGAACUUCUGGUGGAGCGGUGAAAUGCGUAGAUAUCAGAAGGAACGCCGGCGGCGAAAGCGGCUCUCUGGCCCAUAACUGACGCUGAGUGUGCGAAAGCUAGGGGAGCAAACGGGAUUAGAUACCCCGGUAGUCCUAGCCGUAAACGAUGGGCACUAAGUAGAGGGGUUUU